rnacentral:lncRNA from 1 species
GAGACAGAAGCUGUAUACUUUAUCCUGAUAAAAUAUCGUUUAGACACCACCAAUAAUAAAGCCGAAACAGCAAAAGCAGCAAAAAACCACUCUUUCACAAAAACAGCCUUCCGGUUUCCUAAUACUACUCUUCCUCUACUCCUCUAUAAAUAUAGCCCCACUCUUUCUUCCUUCACCCUAGUCUCUGUGUCAAAGAAGCUCAUACUUAAAAUCUAAAGACCGAGCUGAAGAGUCGAGAGGAUGAGUUACCUGAACAGAGUGUGGAUGGCGACGAGCAUGGCAGUGGUGCAAGGCCACGGUGAAAACCAAGGUCAAAAAUGGAAAGCAGGCGUCAAGUUUCUCCAACGGGGCCAGGGGAGGCUCUUCGGUGGGGACUCAUCUGACCUACGGCCGGUUUCCGGGAUGAUCGGCUCCGAUUUCCCCGGGAUGGUGGGGAACCGUGAUGCUCAAGCCGAUGAGUCGAUCCGGCGAGUCAUGUAUCUGAAUUGCUGGGGCCAAGGAUAAGACUAGAGUAGACUUUUAACUUUUGUUUUUGUCUUUCCCCUCUUCACAUCCUACCCCACCAACAAUGGAAAAGGGGGAAAAUUACUGUAGAGGGAAGGGUGUGGAAGCUGUAAAUGCGAAAGUUGUACAGAGGACAAAAGAGUAUUGUUGAGGAUGUAAAUUUCGAUGCUCAGCUUUCGGGGAUGAAUGGAUUUUAGGGUAUCAAAUGAAACAAACAGUUGUAAAGUUUUUUGCUAUCAAUUUGUGUCUCUAUUAUCUACUCUUUUGAUUGUAAGGUCUCAUCUGUUUUUGAGUUGGUUUUUAAUUUGGGCAGGCACCUCAAAUACGCUGCAAUAACACACAAUGGUUGAAUUAACCAAAGAUACCAAGGAAUUAAACUUACAUAAAUUCAAAGUAGUAAUUGAAUGACUAUGCUGUUUCAUUUCUUAGUAGGCAUUAUCUCAUGCCUUCUUUCCCCCCUUAUUCCCUUGGAGAGGCUGUUCCUUACCAAACCUUCUCUUCCGAUGAAAGAUUAACAUUUGCAGAUCCAUUACAAAGAGAAGUCGACGCUUUCAGUCAAGCAUGCAGCUGUUUC